AGUGAAAAGGGCUUGCGUUGUCACAAGAGGCAGAAGAAGAGGCCUCACUGGCAGUUGCAGAACAACCACUCAUAAACAAAGGCCAAGGUGUUUUGUGCUCUGGUCAGGGUGUUCCUUAAUGCUGAAGCCGGCACUUCGUGAUGACGUAAUUUGGUAUGGAGCGGGACGCGGCGGGCCGCUGGCGCCAUGGACCACUUGACAGAGUAUCUUGCAGAACCACUGUCUUCUUUUAUAUCUACCCUCUUCAAUCCUUGCUUUUUUCCUCUUCUGCUGGUUAAGUUGAUGGAUCCUUGCAGGCUACCAAUCAGAAGUGAUGUAACAAAC